UUUGUUUACUUAGUUUUUGUGAGUUGACGCCAGAUUUGUUCGAAAACCUGGAUGAUUAGAUCAUGAUACUCCUUUGGAUUCAAGGUAAGGUAACAAGCAAGAAGAUCCUCCAAGUCUUUUGAAGCUCUGAUGUUGUUCUCUUCUAUCAUCUCCACCAUUGAUUCUCUGAAAUCUUUCUUUGGAUCAACAGAACUCUUCAUCACUGCGAAACUUUCAAGCACAACUUGUUUGCUCUCUGAUCUGGAAGUGCUUCGACGCGUACCUGAGAGUUGAAUUCUUGGAGAAUUUACCUUUUUGAGGUUUAUCCCUGCAGAUGAUUUUCUUCCACUAGAAAUUUUCUUUUGGUAUUUCCUCUCUGCUCUGCAUUCAUCAUCAUCUUCUUCUAACUCUUGCCUAAUCUUCACAGAAAGAUGGCUUUUUAGCGGCUUCUUAGCUGGGUUACUUGCAGGGCAAGCUUUCUCUAUCGAAUCAGACUCUUUGACCUUGUGC
rnacentral:lncRNA from 1 species